rnacentral:rRNA from 1 species
GACGAACGCUAGCGGCGGGCUUAAUACAUGCAAGUCAAGGGGUAGCAAUACACCGGCGUACGGGUGCGUAACGCGUAUGGAACCUGCCCUUAUCUGGGGGAUAACUCGGGGAAACUCGAGCUAAUAACGCAUAAGAUAGUAGAAUGGCCUCAUUCAGCUAUUAAAGAUUUAUCGGAAAAGGAUGGCCAUGCGUAAGAUUAGAUAGUUGGUGGGGUAACGGCUCACCAAGUCUACGAUCUUUAGGGGCUCUGAGAGGAGAAUCCCCCACACUGGCACUGAGAUACGGGCCAGACUCCUACGGGAGGCAGCAGUAGGGAAUAUUGGGCAAUGGGCGGAAGCCUGACCCAGCCACGCCGCGUGCAGGAAGAAGGCCCUCUGGGUUGUAAACUGCUUUUGAUUGGGAAGAAAGCAUCUCAUGCGUGGGAUUUUGACGGUACCAAUCGAAUAAGCCACGGCUAACUACGUGCCAGCAGCCGCAGUAAGAC